rnacentral:rRNA from 1 species
CCUACGGGAGGCUGCAGUGAGGAAUAUUGGUCAAUGGCCGGAAGGCUGAACCAGCCAAGUCGCGUGAGGGAAUAAGGCCCUAUGGGUCGUAAACCUCUUUUGUCAGGGAGCAAAGGCGUCCACGAGUGGACGAAAGGAGAGUACCCGGAGAAAAAGCAUCGGCUAACUCCGUGCCAGCAGCCGCGGUAAUACGGAGGAUGCGAGCGUUAUCCGGAUUUAUUGGGUUUAAAGGGUGCGCAGGCGGGCUGUUAAGCCGGCGGUAAAAAUUCAGGGCUCAACCCUGUCGAGCCGUCGGAACUGGCAGUCUUGAGUGGGCGAGAAGUAUGCGGAAUGCGUGGUGUAGCGGUGAAAUGCAUAGAUAUCACGCAGAACGCCGAUUGCGAAGGCAGCAUACCGGCGCCCAACUGACGCUGAGGCACGAAAGCGUGGGGAUCGAACAGGAUUAGAUACCCGAGUAGUC